UACGUAGGGUGCUAGCGUUGUCCGGAUUUAUUGGGCGUAAAGGGCUCGUAGGCGGUUUGUCGCGUCGGCUGUGAAAUCCCGAGGCUCAACCUCGGGCCUGCAGUCGAUACGGGCAAACUAGAGUGUGGUAGGGGAGACUGGAAUUCCUGGUGUAGCGGUGAAAUGCGCAGAUAUCAGGAGGAACACCGGCGGCGAAGGCGGGUCUCUGGGCCAUAACUGACGCUGAGGAGCGAAAGCGUGGGGAGCGAACAGG
rnacentral:rRNA from 1 species